CAUUGGAUCAUAAAACCGGUGGUCAUUAUGACCAAGUCAAACUUUUAUCUAAUUCUACUUAAACUGUUCUUUGUGCACUCUAAAUAAAAAUGAGUAAAAUUUACUCAAGAGUGUGGAAUCUGCAAUAAAUGGCUCAGUUUCAGAUAACCCAAACGACGUCCAUUUCUACCUGCAUCCUUACCCAGAGUAGGUAGCAUUCAUUUCAAUACGACUAAACCAUUUCCAUAGGUCGAAAUUAAUCUGUUGCAGGAACCCUGAACAAACAAUUGAACUUCUCCCAUAUGACAAAAAACCCUUGAAAAGGUUUGAGUUUAGGAGCAGGAACAAAACAUUAUUUUUAAUUCAUGGCUUCAUCUCUAAUUCCCAAACACAUAUGCCAGUCACAGUAAGGAAUGAAUAUCUUCGCUCUGGACUAAACUACAACGUAAUCACCGUAGAUUGGGGGCUCCUAUCGCUUCCAGCAGAAUCUCCGCUAACAAUACCCGUCAUUGUACAAUCCUUCCCUGUCGUGGUUCAAAACAUUCCAACAGUUUCCAAACGCAUCGCGAAGUUCAUUGAGUUUUUAGUUGAUCAAGAUUUUUCCACCCCUCAUCAAAUCCAUCUUGUGGGGCAUAGUCUCGGUUGCCAUGUAGCAGGUCAGGUUGGUCACAGAAUUCAAAUAGUUCGGCCAGGGCAGAAGUUGGGGCUCAUUUCAUAAUUGGAUCCUUCCGGUCCAAGUUUUCAGCAUCUUCCGCUUGACCUAAUUUUGGAUGAGAGUGAUGCUUCCUUUGUGGAUAUUUAUCACACCAACACAGGAAUACUUGGAUACCUCGGAAUGCUAAUGGUGGUCGACUACAGCCAGGCUGUUUUGGGGAAUCCAUUUGCAGCCACAACAUUGCUGUGGAAGUGUUUGCCGUCACAAUAAACCAAGUUGUAAAUGCCUGCAAGUGUAAGCACUUUAAGGAUUGGGGGCUAAGGAUUUAUUGCCCUUGCGAUGAUGAAAAUCUCGACAUACGGGCAGGUGAAUUAAUUCCGACUAAUGGAACUGAAGGACAAUAUUUCUUUACAACCUCGCCCAGCAUCCGGCUUUGCGUACCCUUUGAAUUCAAUUGUUAAUUUGAAGAUUAUGAAUGAUAUUAAAACACAUUUUCUUGUGUUACAUA